GACGAACGCUGGCGGCGCGCUUAACACAUGCAAGUCGAGCGAAGCGGCGGACGGGUGAGUAACACGUGAGUAACCUGCCUUAGACAUUGGGACAGCCUCGGGAAACCGGGAUUAAUACCAAAUGGUCUAAGAUGGACUCGGGUCCCAUUAGCUAGUUGGUGGGUAACGGCCCACCAAGGCGCCGAUGGGUAGACGGCCUGAGAGGGAGAACGGCCACAUUGGAACUGAGAAACGGUCCAAACGCUGCGGGAUGCAGAAGUGGGGAAUAUUGCACAAUGGAGGGAACUCUGAUGCAGCGACGCCGGGUGAACGAAGAAGGCUGUCGAGUCGUAAAGUUGUUUUAUAUGGGAAGCGGUACCAUAAGAAAAAGCCCCGGCUAACUACGUGCCAGCAGCCGCGGUAAUUC
rnacentral:rRNA from 1 species